GACGAACGCUGGCGGCGUGCUUAACACAUGCAAGUCGAACGGAAAGGCCCUGCUCUUGUGGGAUGCUCGUGUGGCGAAAGGGUGAGUAACACGUGAGUGACCUGCCCUUGACUUUGGGAUAACUUCAGGAAACUGGGGCUAAUAUCCGAUAGGAGCUCCUGAUGCAUGGUGGGGGUUGGAAAGUUUCGGCGGUUGGGGAUGGACUGGCGGGUUAUCAGCUUGUUGGUGGGGUAGUGGCUUACCAAGGCUUUGACGGGUAGCCGGACUGAGAGGGUGACCGGCCACAUUGGGACUGAGGUACGGCCCAGACGCCUACUGGAGGCAGCGGUGGGAAUUAGUGCGCAAUGGGCGGAAGCCUGAUGCAGCAACUCCGCGUGCGGGAUGACGGCCUUCGGGUUGUAAACCGCUUUCGCCUGUGACGAAGCGUAAGUGACGGUAAUGGGUAAAGAAGCACCGGCUAACUACGUG
rnacentral:rRNA from 1 species